GACAGAGGGGGCAAGCGUUGCUCGGAAUCACUGGGCGUAAAGGGCGCGUAGGCGGGAUGGCAAGUCAGUCGUGAAAUCUCUCGGCUCAACCGAGAAACGUCGGCUGAUACUGCCGUUCUUGAGGGAUGCAGAGGAGACUGGAAUUCCCGGUGUAGCGGUGAAAUGUGUAGAGAUCGGGAGGAACACCGGUGGCGAAGGCGGGUCUCUGGGCAUCUCCUGACGCUGAGGCGCGAAAGCUGGGGGAGCAAACGGG
rnacentral:rRNA from 1 species